UGAAGUGGCUCAGCUGGUAGAGCAGUUGAUUCGUAAUCAACAGGUCGUGGGUUCGAGUCCCAUCUUCA
rnacentral:tRNA from 1 species